CUAACUGUGGAACAUAUAAUUUUACACAGACGCUGUGAUAUGCUACAUUAACAAAUGCACAGAGGAUGUUGUCCCAGCCAAAUGUUAAAUCAUUUCCAAACCAGAAACCAUGGGUCAACGGUGAGGUGCAGGCCAAAUUAAGAGCAUGAACUGCUGCCUUCAACUCUGGGGAUUUAACUGCUUACAAGAAGUCCAGGUAUGACCUUCAAAGAACCAUGAAAUCAGCCAAAAGAGACUUUAUGGACAGAGUAGAGUCAGAAUAUCAUGGCUCUGACCCCCAACGCAUGUGGAGCAGUUUACACUAUAUCACUGACUACAAAGGAAGGAAAAGCAGUGGUGUGUCUUGUCUGACUCCUUGCCGGAUGAGCUCAAUACUUUUUAUUCUCGCUUUGAGACAGGCAACACAUUCCCUGCUGUGAAAAUACCUGCUGACCUUGACACCUGGCCUUUGGUUCUAACCACACUUGAAGUGAGUAAGGCAUUCAAGAGAGUCAACGGCUGGAAAGCUCCAGGUCCAGAUGGUGUACACGAACGUGUCAUGAGGGCCUGCACUGUCCUGUUAGCAGAUGUCUUCACCAACAUCUUCAACCUCUCCUUGAGACUAACAGUGAUCCCCACAUGCUUCAAGCAAACCACCAUCAUCCCUGUUCCCAAAAAAACAACUGUCUCCUGCCUGAAUGACUACCGCCCUGUAGCACUGACAUCAGUCAUCAUGAAGUGCUUCGAAUGGCUAGUCAAAUCCCACAUCUGCUCCUCUCUGCCUGACACCUUGGACCCUUUACAAUUUGCUUACCGCUCAAAUAGAUCCACUGAUGAUGCCAUUGCAAUGGCCAUACACUCUGUCCUGGAACACUUGGAAGGAAGUGACACCUAUGUGUGGAUGCUUUUUGUUGAUUACAGCUCUGCAUUUAACACCAUCGUCCCUACCAAACUUAUAGCCAAACUGAAAGAUCUGGGUCUUAACAGUCACUUAUGUAACUGGGUCCUGGACUUCCUGACCGGCGGACCCCAGGUGGUUAGAAUUGGCAAUCACACAUCCUCCUCACUUACACUCAGCACUGGUGCCCCCCAGGGAUGUGUACUCAGUCCUCUCUUGUACUCCCUGUUCACUUAUGACUGCUCUGCUAAGCACAGCUCCAACAUCAUCCUCAAAUUUGCUGAUGAUACUACUAUCCUGUGACUAAUGGCGAUGAGACAUCCUACAGGGAUGAGGUUAAUGCACUCACAGUGUGUGUGCUGAUAACAAUCUCUCUGUAAACGUCAGCAAGACCAAGGAGAUGAUCAUGGACUACAGGAAGUCACAGAGAGAGGGUCACGUUCCCAUUCACAUCAAUGGAGAGAUACUAAAGACAGUUAAGAGCUACAAGUUCCUUGGCAAAUUAUUUAGAAGAAUGACUGAGAUUUUCUGUGACGAAAAUCUAACUUCCGGGUUGGUACAAGUUUCGGCUGUUUUUUUUUUCAACCUUGGAUCUAAUGACGUAGAUAAGAAUGGAAGUCCUUAUAUGAGCAUUUCUUCCGGAAAAGCACGCCCGCGCAAACACAUUGACCAGAAGAGAGCCAGACCGCACACACUGACGCACUUCAAAAUAGGAUUUGUUCAAGAAUGCCUCCAAAUAAGUUUUUUUUGGAUGUGAGGAAAAGUUUACCGUGUUCAGCUUCCCCAAGAACCCAGCGUUACAUGAACAGUGGAUGCAGUUUGUUUUUCUGGGGCAGCAAUGGAGUGUAUCAAGUGCAUUUGUGUGUUCUGCUCAUUUGAUUGACGAAUGUUUUAUAAACAAGGCCCAAGUCGAUGCUGGAUUUGCACAUCGUUUGCUAUUAAAACUUGGAGUCGUCCCUGUGAUAAAAGACCCAAUUCAUAACCGGCUAUUAAAACCAUUCAUUGACACUGGACGGCUAACAGCGGAACAGCGUGUCUACGACAUGAAAAUCUCCAGAGCACGUGUAGUGGUUGAAAAUGCUUUUGGUAGAUUAAAAGGAAGACGGCGUUGCCUUACGAAAAGAAAUGACUGUGCGGUCGACAAUCUGUUCUCAUACAAGAGAAUGAGUGCCUGUCCAGCUUGACCAGCAGCAACAAUCUCAAUGCUUAGUAAGACAUUAUUUUGCUAUAUAUGAUGCAGAGGGUGACAAGCUCCUGGUGCGACAGCUGCGAGACAGCUGCAAGGGAGGAGUUGUGUAUGCAGCACCAGUCUUGAUGAACAUCACUGGCCUGUGAUGCAGAGUGCUGUGCACAAAAGUGCUCUGCUCAAAAGAGUCAAUUUCAAAGCUGAUGAACUGCUCAAAUCUAUGAAUGCUGAAAUCCGAAGAAAUGCUUCCUGGGCAAUUCAUGUGUGUGCAAAUGAUGAAAUAAAAGCUCUAGAAUUGCGUUAUGCCAGGUGAGCAUGUUUUAUGCUGAAAUACACUUCAUUUCCCUGAUUCACAUUCUUUAUAUGAACACAAUAUAUGAGUCAAGUUUCCAUUCAUUAAAUGGAUGCUGUGAGCAUUGGAUUAAAAACAUUUAAUAAUAUUACUAUAUUAAAAAUAUUACUAAAUAUUACUAUUAUUUUUUAAAAGGUUUGAGAUGUUUAAAACUUUUACAGAAUGAACUGAUUAACUGUUAAAGUAAACCACCAGUAGAUGGUAGUAAAUCCCAAGGAUGCGAUUUCUAGAAGAGCAUGAAUUUUAUAUAAAUAAGGACAUUUUAUAUAAAUAAGAUAAUUCUUAGUAGCCAUUUCCAUUAUAUUCUAAACACAGAAUUU